rnacentral:rRNA from 1 species
UACAGAGGUGUCAAACGUUGUCCGGAAUUACUGGGCGUAAAGGGCGCGUAGGCGGCCUUAUAAGUCAGAUGUGAAAGCUCUGGGCUCAACCCAGGAAUUGCAUCUGAUACUGUAAGGCUUGAGUUCGGUAGAGGAGGGCGGAAUUCCAGGUGUAGCGGUGAAAUGCGUAGAUAUCUGGAGGAACACCGGUGGCGAAGGCGGGUCUCUGGGUAGUAACUGACGCUGAGGAACGAAAGCGUGGGUAGCGAACAGG